GACUAUUAAAUAAAAUUUGGUUCUAAUGGGGAUCAGCCAUUAGAGGUAACGGGGAAAGAUUUGGUGAAAAUCCAACGCUGUCCCGCAACUGUGAUAAGGCAAUAUCAGCCUUUUAGUCAGGAUGCCCGCCAAAAAACAUAUACACAU
rnacentral:ncRNA from 2 species